rnacentral:rRNA from 1 species
GAUGAACGCUAGCGGCAGGCCUAACACAUGCAAGUCGAGGGAGAAGCCCUUUCGGGGGCAGAAACCGGCGCACGGGUGCGUAACGCGUAUGCAACCUACCUUUCACAGGGGGAUAGCCCGAAGAAAUUUGGAUUAAUACCCCAUAAUAUUAUUGGAUGGCAUCAUUUGAUAAUUAAAACUGCGGUGGUGAAAGAUGGGCAUGCGUCCUAUUAGCUAGUUGGAGUGGUAACGGCACCCCAAGGCUACGAUAGGUAGGGGUCCUGAGAGGGAGAUCCCCACACUGGUACUGAGACAGGGACCAGACUCCUACGGGAGGCAGCAGUGAGGAAUAUUGAUCAAUGGUCGGAAGACUGAACCAGCCAUGCCGCGUGCAGGAAGAAUGCCUUAUGGGUUGUAAACUGCUUUUAUAUGGGAAGAAUAAGGCGUAUGUGUACGUUGAUGACGGUACCAUAUGAAUAAGCAUCGGCUAACUCCGUG